CCGCAGUGGAGCUGACAUGACAGCGAGGUGACACGGCUGGCUGUGGCACAGGUGCUGUGAGACAGUCGCGGGGUCGGAGGUCACAGGUUUCCAAACCACUGAUUAAAAAGAUGGAGCCACAUGCGGUGUGGUGGAAGCCAAGAAUCAGCUGAGAGUUCCAAUCUGGAUUUGAGUUUGAAAGAAAUGCCCAACUGUGUCUAGUGGUAAAGCACUAAUCUGUUUUCAAUACUGCGCUAACAACCAGAAGCUCCCGUUUGACGCAAACAACUCGCCACUCGCACGAUAAGCAGCUUCUCAAGAGUAAACAAUAAUUAAAGGGAAAGCUUCACCAAUCCA